AUGUUCAAGAGCAAGGUCUGUGAAGGCAAGUUCUCUUGAUGCCAUUUUCAUUUUUAUCUGCCCUCCUUCGAUGACAGAGUUUUAAGAGCGGCUCCAUGCAAGAAGAACUGAGACAGAGGAGCAAAUCCUAAAGCGGCUCCGGAAUGCAGAAGCAGAAAUUGAGCAAGGGAAAUUGUCUGGCAUCUUUGAUCAUAUACUAUAUAACGAUAAUCUCGAGGAGUGUUAUGAGAAUCUGAAAAAACUCAUAGAGCUGGAUGGAAGUGCACCAACUAAUAAGCCAU